AGAGUUUGAUCAUGGCUCAGAACGAACGCUGGCGGCGUGCCUGAGACAUGCAAGUCGUGGGAGAAAGUCGGAGCAAUCCGGCUAGUAAACCGGCGCACGGGUGAGUAACACGUGGACAACCUGCCCUGGAGACUGGGAUAACCCGUCGAAAGACGGACUAAUACCGGAUAAGACCACGAGGGGUUCGCCCCUUGGGGUAAAAGGUGGCCUCUGCUCCUGCAAGCUAUUACUUCAAGAAGGGUCCGCGUCCUAUCAGCUAGUUGGUGAGGUGACGGCUCACCAAGGCAAAGACGGGUAGCUGGUCUGAGAGGAUGGUCAGCCACACUGGGACUGAGACACGGCCCAGAGUCCUACGGGAUGCAGCAGUCAGGAAUAUUGCGCAAUGGAGGAAACUCUGACGCAGCGACGCCGCGUGGGUGAUGAAGGCCUUCGGGUCGUAAAGCCCUGUCGGAGGGGAAGAAAAGCCUGCUGGCUAAUAUCCAGCGGGCCUUUGACGGUACCCUCAAAGGAAGCACCGGCUAACUCCGUGCCAGCAGCCGCGGUAAGACGGAGGGUGCAAGCGUUGUUCGGAUUGACUGGGCGUAAAGGGCGUGUAGGCGGUUGCCCAAGUCCGAUGUGAAAGCCCGGGGCUUAGCCUCGGAAGUGCAUCGGAAACUAGGCAGCUGGGGCGCGAUAGAGGAGGGUAGAAUUCCUGGUGUAGCGGUGAAAUGCGUAGAUAUCAGGAGGAAUACCGGCGGCGAAGGCGGCCCUCUGGAUCGUUGCUGACGCUGAGACGCGAAAGCGUGGGGAGCAAACAGGAUUAGAUACCCUGGUAGUCCACGCUGUAAACGAUGGGUACUAGGUGUUCGGGGUAUUGACCCCCUGAGUGCCGCAGUUAACGCAUUAAGUACCCCGCCUGGGGACUACGGCGCAAGGUUAAAACUCAAAGGAAUUGACGGGGCCCGCACAAGC
rnacentral:rRNA from 1 species